ACAAAGUAUUUUACAGGGUUCUAUCAUAAAUAAAAGAAGGAUAAUAUUACUAAAUAGCCAAAAAAACACAACGUAAAAUAGCAGAGAGAAAGGUUUUUGUUGCAAAUUAGUCAUGAACUCACAUUAUCAAACGAGGUGAAAUGACAAAACAAUCCUUCGUUUGUUGCAAGUUCAACAGUAGGCGAGACACUUGUGUGAGGUUUUACAAAAUAGCAUGUAACAUUUAAAUUUCACAUGUUAUAUUUAACUAAAAGACAUGAUAUUUAAAAAAAUAUAUCGUGUUAUUUUAAGAAAAAUCAUUGUUACAUAGUGGUUUUUUAAGAAAAAACAUUGUUAUGAAAAACAAAUCUGUAUGAAGUCUUUUUCUAAAGAAUUCACAUGUGAUUUUAACAGAAACCGUGUAAUAUUACAAAAUAAGAAUUUUCAAAAUAAAAUAAAAUUCAUGUGAUAUUAACUAAAAAACGUAUAUUACUACAAAGUAACAUGAUAACAAGAAAUAUUAAACUGAAUAUAAUAUAUUUUUCCAGAAAUCUCAUGUGCUUUUUAUAAAUGACAUGCAAUACAAACAAAAAUACGAUAAAAGAGAUAUAUUAUGCUAUCACAUGUAAUUCGAGAGAAAAAUAUGUUAUGAAAGACAUUUACGUAAUUUCACACACUCUCCGACUUGUUUCCGACAAAGUACUAUAGCAUAUGGUUAUUUUCUUAAGUAUCGAUAAAAUUUGACUAUUUUGUGCAUAUUCUCAUAGAAGAAUAUAUUACAGGGUAUCAUUUUAGUUUUUGCCUUGUAAUUACAGGGAAUCAUAAAUGAAUAUCUUUUUUGUUUCUUUUUGAGAUUCCAGUUCUAUCUUUUGCCAAGAAAACAGAUAAAAAAGGUUAAAAAGAAAGUCCAGAAUAAAAAUGUGUAAGAUAAAAAAAAGAUUCUACAUAAGUAGGUAAAGUGGGAUACGAAACAUAAGGUC
rnacentral:sRNA from 1 species